UACGUAGGGCGCAAGCGUUGUCCGGAAUUAUUGGGCGUAAAGAGCUCGUAGGUGGCUUGUCGCGUCUGCCGUGAAAGCCCAUGGCUUAACUGUGGGUCUGCGGUGGAUACGGGCAGGCUAGAGGCUGGUAGGGGCAAGCGGAAUUCCUGGUGUAGCGGUGAAAUGCGCAGAUAUCAGGAGGAACACCGGUGGCGAAGGCGGCUUGCUGGGCCAGUUCUGACGCUGAGGAGCGAAAGCGUGGGGAGCGAACAGG
rnacentral:rRNA from 1 species